UACGUAGGGUGCAAGCGUUAAUCGGAAUUACUGGGCGUAAAGCGUGCGCAGGCGGUUCGCUAAGACAGAUGUGAAAUCCCCGGGCUUAACCUGGGAGCUGCAUUUGUGACUGGCGGGCUAGAGUAUGGCAGAGGGGGGUAGAAUUCCACGUGUAGCAGUGAAAUGCGUAGAGAUGUGGAGGAACACCGAUGGCGAAGGCAGCCCCCUGGGUCAAGACUGACGCUCAUGCACGAAAGCGUGGGGAGCAAACAGG
rnacentral:rRNA from 1 species